UACGGAGGGGGCUAGCGUUGUUCGGAAUUACUGGGCGUAAAGCGCGUGCAGGCUGUUCAAUAAGUUGGGCGUGAAAGCUCCCGGCUCAACCGAGGAAGUGCAUCUGAUACUGCUUAGCUUGAGUCCUGGAGAGGGGUGUGGAAUUCCCGGUGUAGAGGUGAAAUUCGUAGAUAUCGGGAGGAACACCAGUGGCGAAGGCGACACCCUGGACGGAGACUGACGCUGAGACA
rnacentral:rRNA from 1 species